AAAACACCAUACAUAAGAGAUUCUUGAAUGCUGAUAGUACCUGGCUGACAUGUCGUUGCAGAGAGAAAUGAAGACUGGCGUCAGGUAUGCCAAAGGCUGUGUGGCAUACAACCUUCUGCACAAAGAAAACCUGGAGACAGCUGGAGUUUUUGUUAAACAAAAUCCAGAGUAAGAGGAUCAGCCUAGCUUUUGCACUCAGAGUCAUGAUCAGAGAAGGAAGGUCAGGAACUAUUUCCAAAAUAAACACAAGAGUCCAUCCAAGAAAGCAGCACUAAGUAUAAUAAUAAUAAUAAUCUGCUACUUGUUUGAUGAGUGCUGUGGCCUGUAACACAUUUGGAUUUCACCAUUUAAUCUUGUCAUUAUUAUUAUCAUUGGUAUAUUAAAAUCAGUAAAAGCCUUAUCACUACCUGAGAUAGUCAAAACGCAUCUGCCUAAUAUCUGGCAUCAGAAUGCAGCCAACAGCCUGACCACCAAGUUGUGGCAAACAGAGAGCAAGUAAAAAUCACACUAAAAGAUCUAGAGGAUCCACCCUGGAAAAGAUGCACAUGCAGCGGGUGACUUCAACUCACCAUGCCGGUGACACAAUGCCACUUCCAGGUACUCCCACUUCCAGCAACCCUUUCCCCCGUGGGUUCCCAUGUACAUCCUGCCAGAGCCGGUCGAGUGGGCACAGCUCGGUGUCCCUGGCAGUUUGACAUCACCAAGGGGAGCUGCACCAGCCAGCCGGGAGAGUGAGUGCUACAAGCGUGAAUCCUGUGUUCAGGCCUGACAGCUGCUCCUGUCCUGGGCUCCCUCUUGCCUUUUCAGAGUGUACAAUUAGAGGCCUUUGAUGGAAAGAUUAUAUUUUGGCUGCUUUUUGUUUUGUUGCAACUGUUGCCUUAUUUGUUUUAUUCACCAACAUUCACUAAAAAGAACCCCUCGUAUUCAAACUCCCAGCUGAGCCUGCACUCCACGUCUCCUUGCCUAGGUAAUCUGAACUCCCUCUGGACUUUUCUGCUUGGCUCUCUCCCAUUUGAGACUGCUCCCUCAUCCACUUGCCAGCACUAGCCACCUCUGCUGGUUUCUACUGCCAGUCUCUUUCCUGGAACUGCAUUCUCAGUUCACCUUCCCUCUCCAUCCCAGCUUCUCUAUCAGUUUCUUUUGCUUGUGCCUCAGUUUCUUGGGCAGUUUGUCUCCUGCAUCCUGUAGUCACCUCCAUCAUUCUUUUAGCCUACAACCCUAAUAUCCUUGUUCUGGAUCCUUAGUCUCUGUCAGUAGUCAUUUCCUUUGGUAGCUUCAAAACAGUAUUCCUGACCUGCCAGUCCUGAAUACCUGCCUUCUCUGCAAGUCCUGGUUUUCAUCCCACAUGCUCCUAUUUCCAGUACAGCCUGCUGGUUCUCCACAGCAAGGCCUUAGACCUGGCUCUGAAUCAGAUAGCCUCUUCCUUCACAUUGCCUAGAUGCCAACAGAAAGGUCACUGAAAACACAGAAAAGUGUCCCUGCUCUCCCUUCGUUGCUUAUCUCCGGCUCAGUGUGCAGCAGCAGGAAACAGCCAUUAUUCAGAAACUCUGUUUCCAUCAUGUCAUCCCGGGCUGCAGCACAUGCAGUGGCUUUGUAUAGAGAGCACAUGCCCAGGCUAGGAGCUGAGAGGGGCUGGAGUGCCUUAGUUGAACUGUGGGAAUGAUGCAUGAACAACAGGACUGUAACUGUGAGAGGCAUAAGCUUGCUCUGGGACAAGAGCUUGCUCUUAACCCUUAAGCAGUAGCAAGUGCUGAGAUUUAAAAUACCAUAAAAUUUGGCCAAAUAAGAGUAGAUUUUCUUGGGUGCAGUGAAAAGUACCUAACAAAAGCAUUCCUUACUCAAUUUCAAAGAAAACUUUCUCCAUAAAAAGUUUGAUUUUCUUUUUUCCUAUUUAAAACCAACGUAGCUUUCCUACAUUUAAUUUCAGAAAAUAUUAAACACUUUGAUAUUUUCUCAGGUCAAGAAAAACAUGAUGCAGACCAUCAGUAUUGACUUCUCCAGUCUGAAUCAGCGUAGCCUGGCACAAACAGCUGAAAGCUAGAUCUUGUGUCAGAAAUGUCAAAACCUGUGUAAUAGGCUGUAUGGGCUCUUUAAAAACUCAGCAGAGCUUCUCACCCUACCUUGUGCAUGUGUUGGGAAUCAGCUGAAGGGCUGAUUCCCAGCAAGCAGAUUUAAAUAGGUUUCCAGCUUAGGGAGAGAAAUGGAUGUUUGUCUCUUAGAGGAGCUGUUCCCUCCCUCUCAUCCCCCUCCCUUAUAUGUGCACGUACACUCACACAAAAAGAGCAAAAUAGGAAUAAAGGUACUCUCCAGGCAAAAAGACCAUCCCUCUAUACAGACAGAAGAGCACUUUUGGCAGACCUGAACGGCACUAGAGUUUAAGUGAGUUGAAAAUAAAAGACUGAUAAUGAGAUUUUGCUCUAGAUCGGCUGGCUUGUGCUGGCAGGCAGCAAGCAGAGCCAGCCUGCUUACAAUUUGCCCUAGAUGAGCUAACCAAAAAUAGAAACCAAGAAUCACAGUGCCUUAUCCAUUCUAGAGAGGUAAAAAUAUUGACUUGGAAAGACCACCACUCAGGGACAAAAUGACAGUUCUGAGUUGCAUCACAUGCCUUUCUCUCAGUCAUGUUAAGAAGGUAUUCAUCUUUCAGUUGCAGAAAGAGCAGAGCUCCUAACUCAGCCUUCUGAAGAGCUGGCACAUGAGGGGUCUAUGGAAGGAAGAGUAUGGCAUUCACCAGCUCUGGUCAGACUUAUGGUCCCUAUUUUUCCUGAUCUUGAGUGGCUCAUAAUCUUGUUGGGUCUAAAUCACCUUUCACAGGUAGGCAGAGAGAAGGAGCCCUGGGAAGUGUGAGAAAUAACUGCUUCACUCCAGAAGGAAGAACAGGUUUGCCAGUGGGUUUGUGCAGAAGACACUCAUGAUCCAUUUCUUCUGGGUGCGAGCUUUGCUGCAGCCUGAGCUCAAAGCACCUCUGCUUGUACUCUGGAAGAAGUAAACCUGAGACUAUCACACUACUUCCCACAAGGCAUUUGCCUGUGCUUGAAUCAUCCAGAGACAAUGACAGAUGCUAAGGCACCUGGCACAUAUUAGGAAGCUGUAAACCUUGUGCUGUUGUGGCUGCCUGGUAAAGACUAAGUGCAACACAGCUGGGUGCAAUCUUGAUAUUAAGGGUAAGCUUGACCAUACCUUGCUAGGUGUAAGAGGAAGGUGUUGCUUUUGCUAAGUCCUGGAGGAAACUGUAUAUUAUUUUCUGGAGUCUUUCUUGAUAUCUGGAGGAGUACAUGGUUCUUAGUUUUUGUUCAGCAAACCAGGUAAACAUUAUUUUAACAAUCUGAUACAGAUGUCCUCAGUCUGCAAUGACUGAAACAGACUUUUUGCUGGUUCCAGUUCCAUUCAGCCGGUCCUUCGUGCUAGCCACAAGCCUGUCUGCCAGAAUUCUAUAAAGAUGAAACAGUAACACAAAAAUCUAGCAAGCAUUUACAAUGCCUCUGGAAAAUAAAAGAUGCCUACAACUAUUUAUUUCACUUGCACCAACAAUGCUGGAAUUUGAGACAGAAAAAAAUUGAUAAUAUUGAUUGUACUCUUAUCAGACUAAAAUCAAGGAAAUAAAAAACUUCACUGGAGGCAGCUGUGUAAGUAUUUUGGAACCCAUUCAAAUAUAUUAAAAAAAAAAAUCCCUAUUCGCUAGGAAAUUUUCUAAAUAAGUGUCUGGUAAACUCUUUUGUAAAUGUAACGUGAUCCAAGCUGCGUGCCAAAAUCCGGAGAACACAGCUCAAUGCUCUGAACAGAGUGGAAGACACCUGAGAUUGCUCUGUUAUUAUGCAAGAAUCUCAGGUAUGCACAACAAAAGCAGCAGUGUCAGGAGGUGAAGCACACCAAAGCAGCUUCUGCACACGCACUGCAAAACAUAUUUAAACAGGAAUUCUCAGAUUGUCCCGUAGGGCUGGACACAUUUUGAAGAGAAACUGGCUCAGUUGAACUUCCCAUUAAUGAUCAUGUAACAUCUUUGUGCCAGAUACAGCAAUUGCCUGCAUGGAAAAAUAAUUUUAGGAAAGUAUUUAAUAUGUUUUAGCUGCCUUGUAACAACAACUUAGCAACCGAAGAGAGAUGUGCCAACACCUUGUGAUCAGCUAGAUCUUUAGAGGCAACCAGGAAGAUACUGUGCGUCCACAGUGCUCCACAGAUGUGGUACCACCCGAGAUGUCUUUCUACUGCUGCAUUCCCCUGAAAGUGAUAUGGGAUGCAGUUUUUGCAGAUUUCCAACCAUGUCAGCAAAGCAGAAGGCAUUCUCUCAGCCAUAUCAGUCAAGUCUACAGUGUUUUGGGGACUAGUGUGUCUUAUUUAUUCCUGCCCUUUUCCACCAGAGAAACUCGUGGGAGAAAAUUAAAGGGAGAAGGGCAUUUAACCUGCCUAAAUUUAAACCCAUAGCCAUCUUUUGCUAGUCUGUCUCUUAGAUUUUCAGACUUGAGCUGAUUUAAUGAUUUUGGGAUGCUUAGCUCUUAACCAAAGUCAUGCUGGAGAAUGUCUUCUGGAUAUGGUUGUCUCCCUUGGGUUUAGAAAAAGCAGUGACCCGUGAAAGCUCUUCAUUCUCUCCUUAGUUUCAUCUCAUUUGCUACCACGUGGGAGUGUUCAGUUUACAGGAGUUACUUCAUUCUGGGUUUGUGGAGAAUAAGCUCUUUUUCAAAACCAAUGUAGGGCUCAACAUACUCUUGCCAGACCCUACAAUAGGAAAAAUAAGGGUAAUAUGUGGAUGGGUACAAUGGCAAUUCAAUUUUCUGGCUGGAAGCCUUGUUUUGGAGUUUUGUUGCUUAGUGUCUGUCAGCACUUUCAUCCUGAGGAAUUUAAGUUUCUGCUACAACAGCCCAGACACAGAUGAAAGUUUGCAUAUAAAGUAUCAGAACUCAGAGCUGGUUUAUUUUUAUUAAUUUUCCAAAUGAGGUUAAGUCUUAAGAUAUGAAAAAGUCCUUGGGUGGUACUCAGCAUAAAAAGAAGAAAAUUAUUGGCUUGGCGUUUGUUUAAUCUUGUGAAAGAUUUAUUUAAAAGGAAAGUGAGAUAAAUACUUGAAAUAUGAUCUCAAAUGAAGCCCACAAAAAUAUGUAUUCAUCCAGAAACUGGGCUACAUUUUGAGGUGUCUAGCACCUCUAGGCAUUGUAAUCACUCUACUGCCUUUGAGAUAAUUUAUCCUAAAAAACCCCAUAUAUGUUCAACCAGUUUCCUUUCAGGAAUGCUUUAGCUGCUGAUGGAUCACAAAAGGAAGGAUCACAUCCCAAGUCUUUGAAGAUAUGGGUAAAAAGGAAGUAAUUGUUAAUGAUUUGCUGAUCUAAACCAAAAUUAUUGACAACAUAAUAAAACCAUGUAAUCCUGUAGUGUGCCAAAAACCCACAAUUCUAAAUUGAAUAGGAACAAAUGUCAGAGGUCAAACGAGAUUAGCUGCAUCAUACACUACACAGCUACAUAUGCCUAGUAAUAAAUGACCUGCCCCAAGAAAUGAGAGAAAAAUUGCAAGAAACUGAUAGUCCUUUAGAACUGCUUAUGUGUCUCAAUGAACUUUUGGCACUGUCAAACACUUCUCUUGAAAUGUUACUUGAAGACGAUGCAGAACAUCCCCACAAAGUACGGGAAGAUGAAAGCUGUCCAAAGCCACCUGUAAAGAUGUAUUUUGAGAUUAGCCAACAACUGUAUGAGUACAGCCUGGUAUAGACGAGGGCUGCACUCUUGCAAGCUGACUGCCCUCUGCACUAAAUGUUGGUUUCUGUGGACAUUAGACAGCACUGCUGUUGCAAACAUAUGUAUUUAUAAUACCAGUGUAUUCCCCUUCUUGGAAAAGACUGGAAGAAUCCUCGGCAUGUUUCGUUAUAUGAAAAAUAAACCUGUUAAGCAUA